rnacentral:rRNA from 1 species
AUUGAACGCUGGCGGCAUGCCUUACACAUGCAAGUCGAACGGUAACGGGCCUUCGGGUGCCGACGAGUGGCGAACGGGUGAGUAAUACAUCGGAACGUGCCCGAUCGUGGGGGAUAACGAGGCGAAAGCUUUGCUAUACCCCAUUAGGAUUUACGAUGAAAGGAGGGGGCCGGCAGGCCUUGCGCGGGCCGGGCGGGCGAUGGCCGAUUAGGUAGUUGGUGGGGUAAAAGCUUACCAAGCCGACGAUCUGUAGCUGGGCUGAGAGGAUGAUCAGCCACACUGGGACUGAGACACGGCCCAGACUCCUACGGGAGGCAGCAGUGGGGAAUUUUGGACAAUGGGCGCAAGCCUGAUCCAGCCAUGCCGCGUGCAGGAUGAAGGCCUUCGGGUUGUAAACUGCUUUUGUACGGAACGAAAAGCCUUCUUUUAAUACAGGAGGGUCAUGACGGUACCGUAAGAAUAAGCACCGGCUAACUACGUG